rnacentral:rRNA from 1 species
AUUGAACGCUGGCGGCAGGCCUAACACAUGCAAGUCGAACGAGUGGCGGACGUGUGAGUAAUGUCUGGGACACUGCCCGAUGGAGGGGGAUAACUACUGGAAACGGUAGCUAAUACCGCAUACCCUCGGAUGUUCCCCGAUGGGUAUAGUUAGUAGGUGGGGUAACGGCUCACCGAGGCGACGACCCCUAGCUGGUCUGAGCGGAUGACCAGCCACAAUGGAACGGAGAACCGGUCAAGACUCCUACGGGAGGCAGCAGUGGGGAAUAUUGCACAAUGGGGGCAAGCCGGAUGCAGCCAUGCCGGUGGUAGGAAGAAGGCCUUCGGGUGGUAAAGUACUUUCAGCGAGGAGGCUUAACUCGAAGAAGAAGAACCGGCUAACUCGGUGCAAGCAGCCGCGGUAAUUC